CCUGAACGAAUUUCCUCUUCAAAAUAAAGACAUUAGUGUGGAAUUGCCGAGGCAUGGAAGGGGGACUUUAUAGUUCUCUUUCUGAAGCAGACAUUACAUCUCCCCUCCCAAGCAUGAUUUUCUUGAGUGAAAUGAAAAAUCAAGAAAGAAUGCUAGUAAGAGUUUAAAGGAAAUUUAAUAUGGCGAUUAUUAUUAUUUUGGAUCCAAUGAGAUUAGCUGGAGGUCUAUGCCAAUUCAGGAAUAAUGAUAUUCGGGUAAGUCAAUCUCAUUCAACUCGAUUUUAUAUUGAAACAUAUGUACAUGAGUUGGUUUCUGAAUGUAAAUAUUGGUAUAUAUUAUUUAUUCAAGUACCGAUAAAACAAUUCAUAAAACUCAAUUGCCAGAACUUAAUUGAAAGUCUAAUAGCUGGGGUUCAAUGUGGAUUAUAGCAGAAGAUUUUAAUGACAUUAUUAAUACCCUAAUAAGUCUGGAGUAGAAUUAGAGAAACUUUGUCAUUUAAUAAUUGUAAAGACUUUCUAUGGGAUAUAAGAACAAUAGAUUUAGGCUUCAACGAAAAAUCUUAGACUUGGUAUUAUUUUAAAGAAAAUAAUAGAAUUAUUCAAGAGUUACUGGAUAGAGCUAUGAGCUUUGUGGGAGACUAGAUUUUAGCCUCGCUAACAUCACUCACUUAGAAACAGAGACCUUUGACCAUAGUGCUUUGCUAAUGAGUAUGAACCUAGCUUUUGAAAAAAAAAAGGUUUUAUUUUUAUAAAUGUUGGAGUGAAAAGGAAGAAGUAAAUACGAAUGUUACUUGGACUUCAAAUAAAUUUUUGGGAGGGUGAACAAUCAAGGGUGAACUUCAAGAUAAAAAACUGUAAAAAAAUCAUUUCUAACUUGGCUUCGAGAAGGGAAGAAAAACUCUAAGAAAAAAAUUGAGGAAAUUAAGAAUAGAAUUGAUUAACUUAAGAAUAAUGCUAUAAAUUUUAAUCUUAAUUAUUCGUUUAAUGGAUAACUUCAUAAUAAUAUGCUAAUCAUAGAAGUCACUAAUGAUGAAAUUAAAAAAAGGUUAAUUUCGACAUGCAACCUUUAAAAUCUCCGGACGUAGAUGACUAGAUGGUAUAGCACCUUUCUUCUUUCAAAAAUAUUGAAUAAUCUUUCUAGCGAUAUUUGUGAAGUAGUGAAAAGUUUCUUUCACUUAAGAUAUUUUCACUUUUCUGGAACCAGACUCUUAUAACGUUGAUUCCUAAAGUAAAAAAUCUUAGCUAUAUUAGUCAAUUCAUACCUAUAAGCUUAUGCUCUACGAUGUAUACAAAUAUUGCCAAAAUUACAGUCAAGCGGCUCAAGGCUUAUCUCCACAAUAGUAUAUUUCUUAAUUAGACUGCUUUUAUUGAAAAAAGGUAAAUUGUGGAUAACGUCGUACCAGCACAUGAAUUCAUUUAUCUUCUUAAAAAUAAAAGACGGGGAAAGCAAAAAUAUAUGACUCUUAAAUUAGAUAUGGCCAAAGCUUAUGAACAAGUAGAGUAGAUUUAUAUCCAUAAGUUACUUCUUAAGAUGAGCUUUCACUAAAUUCUUGUUAAUUGGAUUAUAGAAUGCAUCACUACUACAACUUAUAAAUUUAAUAUUAGUGGAAAUACAGAGGGAGAAGUCAAAGCUACUAGAGGACUAAGGCAAAGAGAUCCUCUUGCACCAUAUCUAUUCUUGUUAUGCGCUGAAGGUCUUUCGAGACUUCUAAAUAAAGCAAAAUCAUGUGAGGAGAUACAAGACUUAAGCUUAGUUAGAGAUGGACCUAUUAUUAAUUAUCUAUUUUGGUUUAUGACUCUUUCAUAUUUUAUAAUGCUAAUAUCCGAAAUGCUGCAAAAAUCUCUAAAAUUUUAAGAGUCUACGAGGAGUGUUCAGGUCAAAAAAUAAACUUUGAAAAGGCCACAAUUUUUUUUAAUAAAAGUACUACUAAUCUUGAUAAGGAUGAAAUCAUUGUGGAGUUAGGACAACUUCAUAGGAAUGAUUUAGGAAAUUAUCUUCGAUUACCUGCAGUAAUCGAUCGAUCAAAGAAAAAAUGCUAGACUUUAUCAAAGAUAGUAUAAAGACUACGAUAAAAGGGUUGGAAGAAUAAUUUCUUAAGUCCAGUAGAAAAAGAUGUGAUGCUUAAAUCUGUUUUAUCUGCUAUUCCUUAUUAGAACUAAUCAUGUUUUUAAUUUUGAAUAAGUAUAAGAAAAUCACAAUCAUCUUCUCAAUUUUUUGGUGGGUGUAUGACGAAGAGAGAAUAAAAAGGCACUUUAAAAAAAUAAGAAACUCUUUGUUUAGCAAUAUCUAAAAGGGUAUAGGAUUAAGAGAAUUAGGAUCCUUUAAUCAAGCAUUGUUAACUAAACUAAUUUGGCGUCUUUUUACUUAAGAAGAUUCUCUCCUCUUUAGAAUCCUUAAGAGUAAAUACUUUCAGCGUACUUCUUUCCUCAAAGCUACUUGUUCUUCUGUCAUUUCUUGAAUUUGGAAAAAUAUUAUUGUGGAAAGAGAUCUUCUAAAUAAGGGUAUUAGAUGGAUAAUAGAUUUAGGAGAAUAUAUUAAGGUUUGAUCGGAUCCGUGGAUACCCAACUCUAGUGGCUUCAAGCUUAGUUAUUUAUCCUAACAAAAUGGAUAUCGAAUUAAAAGUGAAGGAUCUUAUAGACCAUAAUAAUCACAUCUGAAAAAUAUAAGAGCUUCAAAAAUAAUUUUCCUCGUAGGACAUAUAACCUAUCAUAUCUAUUCUAAUAUCUACCGCUGGAUUGACAAACAAAAUUAUUUGUCAUCAUAUUAAAUUUGAAAAGUAUGAGGCAAAAUCGAGCUACCAAUGUGAUGUCCCAGAGUUAAAGUACAUUAAGUAUUUAAUAUACUGUGGUGUUUGUGUGAUUACACUAUGGGAGGAUGAUUAAUCUAUAAUCUAUAAUCUAUAUCUAUAAUAUAUUAAAAGUGAGAGCACCCUUAGAAAAGUGAUUUGAACUUUUUACCCUUCACUAAAAGAUUCAGCAAUAGAUAAAACUGUCAUUUACAAUUUUACUAAAUUGUUAUUUUAAAUAUUUUAGGUGUCCUACUAAAAUUGGUUAUUAAAUCUUUCCUUAUUUAAACAUAGUAAAAAUUACUAUUAAUUUUCAGUGAUUAAUUUAUAUUUGAGGAACUAUAUAUUAAUAUUUUACAAAAAAAAAAAACUUUUACGUAAACAAAUAUAAAUACUAACCAAUUAGUACUUUAGUAGUAACUUCUUGACCGAAUUUGUAAGACUUUUUUAAACAAUAAUUUAACAAAAAUAGGUAAGUUAUUUUGGCAAGAAUUUUACUUUAAAUAGAAAAUAAAUUAAGUAAAUUCUCCUUUUAAAGUUAGCAUUCAAGUAUUCGUCUCUUUGCUUUUCUAUUUUAUUUGUAUUUUCGUUGCACUUUAAAUUUCUUUUAUUAGGUUGUUCGUUGCUUUUAAACGCUUUUUAGUUGCCUAACUAUGUGAUUUUUACGUGUGAUUUAUGGUAUAUUGAGAUUCUAUCCUUAAUUUUUGAGAUUCUGUUAUAAUUAAUGUUUGAUAGGUUGCGACCUCGCCCG
rnacentral:lncRNA from 1 species